GGUGAGAUGGCCGAGCGGUCUAAGGCGCCAGACUAAGGAUCAGGACAUUAGAUGUCCGCGGUUCAAGCGGAAUGGCUUAUACAAUCUGGUCAGAAAUGGCGUGGGUUCGAAUCCCACUCUCAUCA